UAGACUCCCAUGGCAGAAGAAAGUAUAAUAAGAAGAAUACAUAGAAACACAAUGGGGUCCUGAAGCUUCGGUGCUAGGCCUCCAAUAAUUAAGUAAGUGUGACCGACUGUAAAGAAGCUUCACAAGUUCACAUGGCAGAGCACGUGGUCAUUAAUCACCAUGUCAGUAUGGAGAUGAUGAUGGGAGUCGGACACCACAUUAGCUACUACAGAGAGGUUAACGCGUCUCAC